rnacentral:rRNA from 1 species
AAUGAACGUUGGCGGCGUGGAUUAGGCAUGCAAGUCGAGCGAGAACCCGCAAGGGGGACAGCGGCAAACGGGGUAGGAAGGCGUAGGCAACGUACCCUCGGGUCGGGGAUAGCCACGGGAAACUGUGGGUAAUACCCGAUAAUCUCUGCGGUGGUAAGUACUGCAGAGCAAAGGUGUGAUUCCACCGGAGGAGCGGCCUGCUUCGUAUUAGCUUGUUGGUGAGGUAACGGCUCACCAAGGCGACGAUGCGUAGGGGGUGUGAGAGCAUGACCCCCACCACUGGGACUGAGAUACUGCCCAGACACCUACGGGUGGCUGCAGUCGAGAAUCUUCGGCAAUGGGCGCAAGCCUGACCGAGCGACGCCGCGUGUGGGAUGAAGGCCCUUGGGUUGUAAACCACUGUCAGAGGGGAUGAAAUGCGGGAGAGCUAUCUCUUCCGUUUGACAUAGCCUCAGAGGAAGCACGGGCUAAGUUCGUGCCAGCAGCCGCCGUAACAC